rnacentral:rRNA from 1 species
GACGGAGGAUGCAAGCGUUAUCCGGAAUGAUUGGGCGUAAAGCGUCCGCAGGUGGCAGUUCAAGUCUGCUGUCAAAGACCGGGGCUUAACCUCGGAAAGGCAGUGGAAACUGAACAGCUAGAGUAUGGUAGGGGCAGAGGGAAUUCCUGGUGUAGCGGUGAAAUGCGUAGAGAUCAGGAAGAACAUCGGUGGCGAAGGCGCUCUGCUGGACCAUAACUGACACUCAGGGACGAAAGCUAGGGGAGCGAAUGGG